UGCAGUCGAGCGAGAAAUCUUCUUCGGAAGAGAGUACAGCGGCGAACGGGUGAGUAACACGUAAAUAACCUGUCCAUAAGUUCGGGACAACCUUGCUAACGCGAGGCUAAUACCGGAUGUGAACAUAAUGCAGCAUUGUAUGUUGUUUAAAGGCUACCUCUUCUUGAAAGUAGUUGCUUAUGGGUGGAUUUGCGUACCAUUAGUUAGUUGGUAGGGUAACGGCCUACCAAGACAAUGAUGGUUAGCCGACCUGAGAGGGUGAUCGGCCACAUUGGGACUGAGACACGGCCCAGACUCCUACGGGAGGCAGCAGUAGGGAAUCUUGCGCAAUGGACGAAAGUCUGACGCAGCAACUCCGCGUGGAGGAUGACGGUCUUCGGAUUGUAAACUCCUUUGGUAUGGGAAGAAACCCUGUAUGUUAAUAGCAUACAGCUUGACGGUACCAUACUAAAAAGUCACGGCUAAAUACGUGCCAGCAGCCGCGGUAAUACGUAUGUGGCGAGCGUUACUCGGAAUCACUGGGCGUAAAGGGUACGUAGGCUGGUUAAUAAGUCAGUAGUGAAAUGUCGGGGCUUAACCCCGGAGUUGCUAUUGAAACUGUUAACCUUGAAUAUGCGAAGGGAAGACGGAAUUUCUGGUGUAGCGGUGGAAUGCGUAGAUAUCAGAAAGAACACCGGAGGCGAAGGCGGUCUUCUGGCGCAAUAUUGACGCUGAGGUACGAAAGCGUGGGGGAGCGAACAGGAUUAGAUACCCUGGUAGUCCACGCCGUAAACGAUGGACACUAGCUGGUGCAUUAUUUC
rnacentral:rRNA from 1 species